UAUCCCUUAUAUAGAUUUCCCACGAAUAUAACCUAACCCAACGAGAAAACAGAUAUAACGGUAAUAAUCGCAAUAUAAAAAUAUAGUUUGAUGAGGCCAUGAUAUGACGGCGAACCUUUUGGUGCACGCGCGUCGACAACGAAUUUUCGGUUUGAUUUCAUUCGGCCUCGGUGUCUCAAAAUCUUUGUUGGCCUUUGUUUGCAUUAAACGCGAACGAUAUGCGAACGCAACAACGCUCGAACAAACUCGAAACGACAGUCGGUUAAUAGUUAAACUAGUGGUCGUCAGGUAAAUUUCAGCGGCGGAUGCCAAUAGCGAAUCCGAAGUCUUAUCUGUACUAAUAAGGUCUUAUCGCGAAAAAAUUACAAGUAACAUGCAGUAGUCACAAUUACCGAGAUAUAGAGAAAUGUAGAA